UACGUAGGUGGCAAGCGUUGUCCGGAUUUACUGGGCGUAAAGAGCGCGCAGGCGGUCGAUUAAGUCGAGUGUGAAAGCCCCCGGCUCAACUGGGGAGGGUCACUUGAUACUGGUCGACUCGAAGGCAGGAGAGGGAAGUGGAAUUCCCGGUGUAGUGGUGAAAUGCGUAGAUAUCGGGAGGAACACCAGUGGCGAAGGCGGCUGGCUGGACCUGACCUGACGCUGAGGCGCGAAGGCGUGGGGAGCGAACGGG
rnacentral:rRNA from 1 species